rnacentral:rRNA from 1 species
CUGGGAGGACCAUCUCCUAAGGCUAAAUACUCUCUAGUGACCGAUAGUGAACCAGUACCGUGAGGGAAAGGUGAAAAGCACCCCGGAAGGGGAGUGAAAUAGAACCUGAAACCGUGUGCUUACAAGUAGUCAGAGCCCGUUAAUGGGUGAUGGCGUGCCUUUUGUAGAAUGAACCGGCGAGUUACGAUUUGAUGCAAGGUUAAGCAGUAAAUGUGGAGCCGUAGCGAAAGCGAGUCUGAAUAGGGCGUUUAGUAUUUGGUCGUAGACCCGAAACCAGGUGAUCUACCCUUGGUCAGGUUGAAGUUCAGGUAACACUGAAUGGAGGACCGAACCGACUUACGUUGAAAAGUGAGCGGAUGAACUGAGGGUAGCGGAGAAAUUCCAAUCGAACCUGGAGAUAGCUGGUUCUCUCCGAAAUAGCUUUAGGGCUAGCCUCAAGUGAUGAUUAUUGGAGGUAGAGCACUGUUUGGACGAGGGGCCCCUCUCGGGUUACCGAAUUCAGACAAACUCCGAAUGCCAAUUAAUUUAACUUGGGAGUCAGAACAUGGGUGAUAAGGUCCGUGUUCGAAAGGGAAACAGCCCAGACCACCAGCUAAGGUCCCAAAAUAUAUGUUAAGUGGAAAAGGAUGUGGCGUUGCCCAGACAACUAGGAUGUUGGCUUAGAAGCAGCCAUCAUUUAAAGAGUGCGUAAUAGCUCACUAGUCGAGUGACACUGCGCCGAAAAUGUACCGGGGCUAAACAUAUUACCGAAGCUGUGGAUUGUCCUUUGGACAAUGGUAGGAGAGCGUUCUAAGGGCGUUGAAGCAUGAUCGUAAGGACAUGUGGAGCGCUUAGAAGUGAGAAUGCC